CCAGACUCCUACGGGAGGCAGCAGUGGGGGAUAUUGCACAAUGGGGGGAACCCUGAUGCAGCGACGCCGCGUGAGUGAAGAAGUAUUUCGGUAUGUAAAGCUCUAUCAGCAGGGAAGAAAAUGACGGUACCUGACUAAGAAGCCCCGGCUAACUACGUGCCAGCAGCCGCGGUAAUACGUAGGGGGCAAGCGUUAUCCGGAUUUACUGGGUGUAAAGGGAGCGUAGACGGCAUGGCAAGUCAGAUGUGAAAGCCCGGGGCUCAACCCCGGGACUGCAUUUGAAACUGUCAGGCUGGAGUGCAGGAGAGGUAAGUGGAAUUCCUAGUGUAGCGGUGAAAUGCGUAGAUAUUAGGAGGAACACCAGUGGCGAAGGCGGUCUGCUGGACAGCAACUGACGGUGAGGCGCGAAAGCGUGGGGAGCAAACAGGAUUAGAUACCCUUGUAA
rnacentral:rRNA from 1 species